rnacentral:rRNA from 1 species
CAGUAGGGAAUCUUCCACAAUGGACGAAAGUCUGAUGGAGCAACGCCGCGUGAGUGAAGAAGGAUUUCGGUUCGUAAAACUCUGUUGUAAGGGAAGAACAAGUACAGUAGUAACUGGCUGUACCUUGACGGUACCUUAUUAGAAAGCCACGGCUAACUACGUG